UACGUAGGAUGCAAGCGUUGUCCGGAAUUAUUGGGCGUAAAGGAGCGCGCAGGCGGUAUGACAAGUCAGAUGUGAAAGAGGCCGGCUUAACCGGCAAGGGUCAUUUGAAACUGUCAGACUAGAGUGCAGCAGAGGAUAGUGGAAUUCCCGGUGUAGUGGUGAAAUGCGUAGAUAUCGGGAGGAACACCAGUGGCGAAGGCGACUAUCUGGGCUGCAACUGACGCUGAGGCGCGAAGGCUAGGGGUAGCAAACAGG
rnacentral:rRNA from 1 species